UACGUAGGGGGCAAGCGUUAUCCGGAUUUACUGGGUGUAAAGGGAGCGUAGACGGCAGCACAAGUCUGGAGUGAAAUCCCGGGGCUUAACCCCGGAACUGCUUUGGAGACUGUGCGGCUGGAGUGCAGGAGGGGUAAGCGGAAUUCCUAGUGUAGCGGUGAAAUGCGUAGAUAUUAGGAGGAACACCGGUGGCGAAGGCGGCUUACUGGACUGUAACUGACGUUGAGGCUCGAAAGCGUGGGGAGCAAACAGG
rnacentral:rRNA from 1 species